GAGCAGCUCAGUCACCACCCCAGGAAAUGACAUCAUUACUUUAUAAAUGAGAUUCAUGUUCUAAAUUUGUAUUCCUGCAGAAACAAGCACAAUAAAAGCUGCUGAACUGAGAGCAAACUUUAAUAUAUAUUUCAUGACAAAAAUGUUUAUUAUUAUAUACAUUUAUGCGGUUCUCUUGUCUUUAGUCACAGAAGCUGUUCUGGGAGUGACACUGGAACAAAAAGAUCUCUUCAUGACAAAAGGUGAAGACAAAACUGUGUAUAUCAGCUGCAAAGUGACCGGAUUAAGCACUAGCUAUGUCCACUGGUACCAAAAGAAAGACGGUGAAGCUCUCACAAGAAUCCUAUACGUCGAAAGAGGAAGCUUACCGGUUCAGGAUCCUAACCAUCCUGAAGCAAAGGACUUCAGUGUGAGGAUACAGUCUGAUAAUUAUGAGCUGAAGAUAGCAAGACUGAAGAAAAGUCACUCAGCAGUGUAUUACUGUGCCAGCUGGGACUACAGCAGUGAUGCACAGUGAAUGAAUUAAUUACAG